AAUAAUCUGAGGUGGCUGACGUGACGGUGCGCAGACGAGUGAGCAUCCCAGACCAGGAAGUGAUUACAGUUCUACGUCUUUCAACUUCGUCUGGCAAGCCACUCCAAUAAGUGCUGGAAAG